ACUUGGACAACAUGUGUGCAAAAAUUGGAAUGAUACAAAGAUUAGCACAGCCCUGUGCAAGGUCGACACACACAUUUGUGAAGCAUUCCAUAUUUUA
rnacentral:snRNA from 1 species